AUGUGCUCCUCCAUGGCCGACCCAGCGGACGCCGCCACAGCACCGGCGAACGACGACGACGUCGACGAUCUCUACGCCGACCUCGACGACCAGGUGACCGCCGCGCUGGCCGCGGCUGGGGAGAGCGGCGGCUCCAACGCCAAGGACUCCGACCCGGCCACCGACGCCGAGGCCGACGCCGACGCCAUCGAGGCUGUGGAUUUGGGGGACGGGCUCGCGGGCUACAGCAGCAGCGACGAGGAGAGUGAGGAUGACCUCCACAUCGUGCUCAACGAGGACGGCUGCGCGCCGCCGCCUCCUUCUGCCGGCCGGUGCGAGGAGGGGUGGGCGGAGGAGAGCGAGGAGGGGGAGCUUCGGGCCAGCCUCUUGAAGAGUCUAUCUGCUAAGGACGGCGGACAGCGCAAGCUUCACGGCCUCCACUACAAGGGACCUCUUGACAAAACAACAGUGGCAAUCACAGGACAAGGUGAUCUAGGUCACCAGCAUGCGUUUCAGAAGGAUUAUUAUUUUUUCUUGCCAAGAAACAGGACGGUUUUCGACAUAAACAUUGAAGCAUUUCAGCAGAAGCCUUGGAGACAGCAUGGUAUAGAUCUUACUGAUUACUUCAAUUUUGGUCUGGAUGAAGAAGGUUGGAGAAAAUAUUGUUUUGGCAUGAAACAGUUCACACAGGGAGCCAGAUCACUUGCAGAAAAAUCGUCAGGAAUGGAUCAGGAAUCACAUCACAAUCUUGAAUCUAGUAAGCUAAUGCCAAAGUCAGCAAUUUAUUCUGGAUUUGAAGGAAGUAAUGACGUUGCCAAGCCAAAGGGUAGAGCUAUCGAUGUUCAAGGUGGUCUGUUUGAACGUCUUCCGUCAGCAGAUAUGUGGCGUCCAAGAGAAAGGGAUUCUGAUGUUGUGAUACAAGUAAACAUGAUGCUUUCGCCUUCAAAUCACUCCACUUCUGAUGACAGCUCAACAGUAAAUGACAAGUGCAUGACUACUGAAAGUGAAUGCAGAGUAUUGGUUAACGAUCCCGGCGUCAAAUGUUUGAAAGACACUAACCAUCUGGUGGACAAGGUUGUUCCUAAGGAAGUGCUUAAUGGAGGUUCCUCAGAGUGUACUGGGAGCAAAUUGGAUACCAGAGAUUCAGCUUCUACAAGGGACCAUUUUUCUAGUCCUCGUUAUUCUGACAUGCUUUCUGAAGAAUCAACAGAAGAUUGCUACUUUAAGAGAGCUAAUAGAUAUCCAAAUUCCAAGGCUACUUGUUCAGACACCAAGCUUAAGAAUGUGUAUGCCAAGUCUGAUUUUUGCCGCCAUUCGAGUAAAUCAGACCAAGAAAGUGCCAAGGGUGACAGUCAUAGCUAUACCCCCUCUCCUGCUGAUGAUAGAUAUGACAAGACAGAUGAACCUGAUUUCAUGUCCAGUGGCGUAUUUAUGAAUCGUCAAAGUGAUCACCGUCUCCUUAAAUAUGGGCAUCAAGAAAGAAAAGAACAGAAGCGGAAAGGUUCAGCUUAUGUAAGGCAUGAUGCGUUUGAGAAGGAAGAAAAAAUAGCAUAUAGCUAUGCUAGCAGGUAUGAUAGAAAGCAUGAAGAGAAAAGAUCUAGCUCCACUUUCCUUGGUAAUGAUUGCCGCAAUGCUGUUCACAAUCAGGUUUAUGAAAGACGUGAUUAUUCACCUGCUGAAAGAGCAGCUUUGAGAAAUGGCGUGCAUCGCUUUAGUACCAUCUCUAACCAUCAUCACGACCGUUUUUCUAGGCAUGAAUUCAAUGAUGACCAAGAUGAUCUGCAGAGGCUCUCAUUAGCCAAAGGGUGGCAGCGACGCCAUGAUCACGGAUAUGGAUACAAGUCAGUGCAAAAGGCUGAGCUUUUUGAUGACAUUGAUAGGCACAUGUAUAGAGAAAGUUAUUACCAGGAAACUAGAAGAGUCCGACAUGGCCAUGAUGAGGAAGAUGAACUAUUCGAUUACAAUGACUACCGAUUUGGUGAGUUCUGUGGACCUGAGGUUAGACGAAAGUAUCGAAGCAGAAGAUCUGCAGAAAGCAGUGAUGAACAUUGGAGACAUCCUUACCACUUCGUUUCGCCUCCUCGGGCAAAUGACUACCCCAAGAAUCCUGAGAGAAACUGGUCUUCUCCUGGUUUAACUUCCUUGAGCUCAAGAAACAGUCGAAAUGCCAAAUUCAUGCAAUAUCAUCAUGAUGAAUACUAUCAAAAUAACAAGCACCAUAAUUCUUCAGCUCACAUUGACAACAUUCAACAAUCUGUUUCAUUCACUGCUGCCCCCUGUGAGACUGGUUAUGGUAUUCUUCCAGUCAAGAGGAAGCUCCAUGCUGGUCUGGGUUCGAUGAGCCGUAAAGAUCUUCUCGGCAUAGCAAUUUCAAAAGGGAGAAGACUGAAGCAUGACCAAUUCAUGAUCAGUGAUAGGAAGCUUUAUGCUGUGGAGAUGCACAAUUCUCCAAAGGAAACUGUUAGAGAAGCCAUUUAUAGUUUCAGUGAUAUGAGAGAUAGUAAUACUAUUUCAAACAUUCACGAUGAAAGAAGACAUGAGCACAUGAAUAUUCAGCCCAAGGACACAGCUAGCAUCCGCUUGAAUGAUAGGAAAAGAAAGUUUAAGCUCCAAGGCAAUGAGAUAAGGCGAGUUGAAAGUGACAAUGAGGGAUGUCUUCCUGCAGACAAGAAUUUGCACAGUUCCAAACACAAGGAUGUACAUCAGAAAGCACAGAAGGUGAAACUGAAUAGAAGUUACUAUCAGUCAGUCUGCCAGGGCUUGGAGAAAACAACAAACCAAAGACGCCAAACUACCAAGGAAGAAGAUGAGAUUGAGGAGGGAGAAGUGAUUGAAGAGGACCAUCAGGAUACUGCUCCAAACAGAAAACCUAACAAGCCAAGAAACACAGCAUUGAAAUCAGUGAUUGAAGCAAGCUCAGGCGGUCAGUUAGAGAUGAUUAAUGCAACCUCAAAAGAUAUUUGCGACAAUGGAGCUACAAGGGAAUGCGACGAGAAACACAUACUUAAGGUAAUGGAAAAGAUGCAGAAGAGAAGGGAGAGGUUCAAAGAAGCUGUUACUGUUACCCAAAAGGAGCAAGACAAUGGCAAGGAUGAACUGUUAGCAGUUGCGUGUGGUGCGGACGAUGUCAAGAAUCAGCGACCUGCAAGGAAACGUCGUUGGGGCGGCAAUGGUUAG
rnacentral:rRNA from 1 species